rnacentral:rRNA from 1 species
UACAGAGACUGCAAGCGUUAUUCGGAUUCAUUGGGCGUAAAGGGUGCGUAGGUGGCGGGGUAAGUCAGGUGUGAAAUUUCGGAGCUUAACUCCGAAACUGCAUUUGAUACUGCCUUGCUUGAGGACUGGAGAGGAGACUGGAAUUCACGGUGUAGCAGUGAAAUGCGUAGAUAUCGUGAGGAAGACCAGUGGCGAAGGCGGGUCUCUGGACAGUUCCUGACACUGAGGCACGAAGGCCAGGGGAGCAAACGGG